UGCCGUCAAUAAGAAUGUAGAUUGGAUAAAUUACAUCUACUAUAACCAGCAGAGAUUUGUGAAUUAUACCAGGGAUGCCCUACAGGGGAUUGAAGACCAAUUACAGGCUCAUA